UGGAUUACUUGACUUAGAACAAAAUGUCGACAGCUUACUGUACUGGCAUAAUGUUUUGGUCAUCGUACAGCACGCAUAUGCGCAGUUGGAAAAUACACAAAAGAACAGUUUCUUACAAACAAUAUAUAUGUCCGCUUAAAAUAAUGUAGACUGGAAAUGCUUUUCAGAAUUGUUGCUUGGUCUAUUGGACGAGAGAGUAGUUCUCCAUCGCAUCGUAGAUGUCCAUUUUUGCUGCUGUCAAUAUUCAUAUGUUUUAUAUAUGCAAAUGAACGUUCCAUAGAACUUUUUUGGUGGGUUUCUACUUUAGGUUUUUAUCAAUUUACGAUGUAUUCCAGUAUGCUCGACGUAUGUCAUUUUGGAUCAUUUAUCUGAUAUCUUUG
rnacentral:lncRNA from 1 species